AGCUCCUGCUGCAUGGUGGGGGUUGGAAAGUUUCGGCGGUUGGGGAUGGACUCGCGGCUUAUCAGCUUGUUGGUGGGGUAGUGGCUUACCAAGGCUUUGACGGGUAGCCGGCCUGAGAGGGUGACCGGCCACAUUGGGACUGAGAUACGGCCCAGACUCCUACGGGAGGCAGCAGUGGGGAAUAUUGCACAAUGGGCGGAAGCCUGAUGCAGCAACGCCGCGUGCGGGAUGACGGCCUUCGGGUUGUAAACCGCUUUCGCCUGUGACGAAGCGUGAGUGACGGUAAUGGGUAAAGAAGCACCGGCUAACUACGUGCCAGCAGCCGCGGUGAUACGUAGGGUGCGAGCGUUGUCCGGAUUUAUUGGGCGUAAAGGGCUCGUAGGUGGUUGAUCGCGUCGGAAGUGUAAUCUAGGGGCUUAACCCUGAGCGUGCUUUCGAUACGGGUUGACUUGAGGAAGGUAAGGGAGAAUGGAAUUCCUGUUUGAUCGGUGGAAUGCGCAUAUAUCAGGAGGAACACCAGUGGCGAAGGCGGUUCUCUGGGCCUUUCCUGACGCUGAGGAGCGUAAGCGUGGGGAUCGUACAGGCUUAGAUACCCUGGUAGUCCACGCUGUAAACGGUGGGUACUAGGUGUGGGGUCCAUUCCACGGGUUCCGUGCCGUAGCUAACGCUUUAAGUACCCCGCCUGGGGAGUACGGCCGCAAGGCUAAAACUCAAAGGAAUUGACGGGGCCCCGCACAAGCGGCGGAGCAUGCGGAUUAAUUCGAUGCAACGCGUAGAACCUUACCUGGGUUUGACAUGGAUCGGG
rnacentral:rRNA from 1 species